ensembl:lncRNA
AUUUGACACGUUUGAACAUGCUUAGAAUGAAUAUAAUCUGAGAUACAUGAUUUAUUUCUGAGAUUGUGUUUGUUUGUUCUGUAUUGUUCAGUAAAAAGGUCUUAAACAUGAUUUUUGAUGUCACUGACAUGAGACAUCAGUGAUUGUUCUGUCUGCGAGCACUGAUGAUGAUGAUGAUGAUGAUGUGUCCCUCACAGGCAGGUGUUUCUCCAGCUGCAGCAGCCACUGCUGAUCCUCCUGAUGAAGAGCGAGAUCAUGGACACAUGACACCAGCGGAGCAGAAAGACACUCAAGACGAGCCUGCAGCCAACAAACUCAAACUCACACUCCAGGACCGCCCCCGAGGAUGACGCCACUGACCGCCAGCGCUCAAAGUCCCUCCCCUCAGCCGCUCCGGCCAAUCACGUCUCCUGAUCGCUCCUGGACCUCGCAGUGGCUCCUGCUUCAGAAAGCACAGUUCAAUAAUAAUUUCUAGUUAAACUACAGUAUAUAUACAGUUUACAGCUUAUGAGCAAUGUUGAGUGCUUCUCAACCAGGGGGCCUCAAAAACUCUAACAUGACUUAAAAUUAUUUGCUAAAUAAUCAAUAUGUAAUUUCUCCUCCUCCCAGUGUUAUUACAGCAUCCCUGAGAUUUUGUUGUAGUCUUUUUAAAAUGUUUUUUAAUAUAUUGUCUUGUUUUUCAUAUUCAUUUUAGUUAAAGUUUUAGUGUUUUUUUUUUUAUAUGUCUAAAUAGUUUUAAGUUUUUGUUAUUUCAGUACAGCAACACUUUACUUUCAUUUUAUUUCAUAUUUACGGUCAAAAAUUUGCAGCUGUGGUUGCUAGAAUUAAACCGUAAAAAAUACAGUAGCAACAUUUCAUUAACUGAUCCAGUGUUAAUAUACCAACCUACUAAAGUGUAUAUGUAUGUAUGUAUGUAUGUAAUAAUCGUUUAAAUAUAUUAAUUCCAUUCUGACACAUAAAUAUAAAUCUGUGCCAUAAUUCUCUAUAAACGUUAGAGCCUUCUCCAGUAAUAAGCAAAGAUGAUUCUGAUUGGUUCAUCCUGAGCAGCGCUGAGAAAAGUAACAGACACACGUGACAGCCGUCAACGCGCUAUAGGCAGCUGAAUGAAUUUAGAAUCGCAUACUUCGCCUUUAAGCAUUCUAUUUAAAGUAUUUUGGUAGUAUAAUAUUCAAAUUGAGCCUAGAAUUAUUAUUUAUUUUAGACCGUCAAUCGAGCGCUUCCGGGCCGCGAAGCCCCGCCCACUCC